UACGUAGGAGACGAGCGUUGUCCGGAGUUACUGGGCGUAAAGGGGUGCGCAGGUGGCGGCGCGCGUGGGGGGUGAAAUCGCCCGGCUUAACUGGGCGGGGGCUUUCCAGACGGCGUGGCUUGAGCAGCGGAGGGGGACGUGGAAUCCGGGUGGAGCGGUGAAAUGCGUAGAGAUCCGGAGGAACACCGGUGGCGAAGGCGGGUCUCUGGGCCGUAACUGACGCUGAGGAGCGAAAGCAUGGGUAGCGAAACAGGG
rnacentral:rRNA from 1 species